rnacentral:tRNA from 1 species
GAAAGAUUAAUUUAAAUAAAAUAUUAUUUUGUCAAAAUAAAAAUACAUUGUGUAUCUUUUU